rnacentral:rRNA from 1 species
UACGUAGGGUGCAAGCGUUAUUCGGAAUUACUGGGCGUAAAGCGUGCGCAGGCGGUGAUGUAAGUCAGAUGUGAAAUCCCCGGGCUCAACCUGGGAACUGCAUUUGUGACUGCAUCGCUGGAGUACGGCAGAGGGGGAUGGAAUUCCGCGUGUAGCAGUGAAAUGCGUAGAUAUGCGGAGGAACACCGAUGGCGAAGGCAAUCCCCUGGGCCUGUACUGACGCUCAUGCACGAAAGCGUGGGGAGCAAACAGG